CGUUCACACUAUAUCUGGCGAAAAUACUUACGCCUUAGCUGCCUAGUUUAGAACUUCGUAAGCUUUUGUCUCGCUAACUGCUGCAUUGUUAGGUUAGUAAUAGAGGCAUCAUAAUAACAACGCUAGUUUUUGUAGAGGUACGAUACAAUUGCGAAACAAAGUACAUAAGGAGAAAGUUAAGGUCGGUUUCCAGCCCGACUGAUCCCGACAAUUAAUUGGAAAAUAAGCAUGAAGAAGGCAUAAUUUAUCACACAACUGGACAAGGGUUCGAACCCCUUCGGCUCCACCA
rnacentral:tmRNA from 1 species